rfam:Triticum aestivum genome assembly, contig: Triticum_aestivum_CS42_TGACv1_scaffold_129315_2BL
AUUGUACUCCCUCCGUUUCAAAUUACUCGUCGCUAAAAUGAAUGUAUCUAGAACUAAAAUACAUUUAGAUAUAUCCAUACGUGCGACAAGUAAUUCGGAACGGAGGUAGUACUAC